rnacentral:rRNA from 1 species
UACGAAGGGGGCGAGCGUUGUUCGGAAUUACUGGGCGUAAAGGGCGCGCAGGCGGCCUUAGAAGUCAGAUGUGAAAGCCCCGGGCUCAACCUGGGAAUUGCAUUUGAUACUCUGGGGGCUGGAGUGCGGGGAGAGGAGAGUGGAAUUCCCAGUGUAGAGGUGAAAUUCGUAGAUAUUGGGAAGAACACCGGUGGCGAAGGCGGCAUCCUGGACCGGCAUUGACGCUGAGGAGCGAAAGCCAGGGGAGCAAACGGG